rnacentral:lncRNA from 1 species
AAAAUAAUCCAAUUACUGCAUCAUGAAUGACAGAUGAUGCCCUCUUACGUCUACUUAAAUGCAGCCACAUUCAUUCCAUGCUAGUAAAUAAGAUCAACAUUGCAUCAUCAAUGACAGAAACAACACCAAAUACCAUUACUGAGUAACAAAACCGAAAAACAGACGAUGACACAUCAGAUUUUCACAAAAGGCAGUUGACAAAGUACAGAUUUUGGUUCAUAAAUUCAAGUAACAUCAAAUCACAAUGCACGUUAUCUCAAGGCAAUAAAUGUGUCAUUUAACUUGACCUCAUUUCACAUUUAUGACCUUCAACUUUGGAUGUGGUAAACAUUUAAACUUGUAUAAAGUUAAAUAAGUAGACACAUAAUACGCAUAGGACACCACGUAGGACGCAAACUGUCAUGUAGGAUGCCACAUAGGACAUGUGUGUUUAUUUGUUCAACUUAUACAAGUUUAAACGUCUACUUGUCCACACCCAAAGUUAGAGGAAUAAAUAUGAAAUGAGAUCAAAUUAAAGGGCAUAUUUGUGCAUGGAAAAAUCUUUUUGGCCAGAGAAUACAUCUCAACUAUGCUUUUUUCACAGAGAAUACAUCAAUUUCACCACAAUAAUUCGUUGGGCAUAUCAAUUAGACGCCAAAACCCAAUAAAAUACGCCUAAAACGAAAACCCACAAUUUUCAAAAGUUGUGAUAUCACAAUUCUUACCUCAAAUAGUUGUGAAAUGGAGGUUUCUAAGAAGAAAUCUCAUAAUCUCAAUUUUUCUCCACUUCAAUCUUCUCUUCUUCUGGCCCCAAAGUAUUUGGAACCAAUAUGAAAUUUGGGUCAUUGUUA